CUCCCAUCUUUUCCCUUUUAUAAACCCUAACCCCCGCUCUUUCUUCAAAACUUUCCUGCUGUUUCCCCCUCCUAACAAACUAGUUUUCAAGUUCCUCCUCUCUCUCUGUGUUUUUAGUUCUCGUUUUUUUUUUCUCUAUGGAUGUUUAAUUGAGAUUGCUUGUCUUAGCUAUGAUGAUAAAUGCUUAUAAUCCCAGCUCAUUAUGAGGCCUUUUUGUAAGGUCCGGGAAUUUACACUUUCUCACAUUUAUCUGAGCCUUUACAUUGUCUUUUACCUAAAUUUCGCAUCUGGGUUUAUGGUCUUACUUGUGUUUAUUCUUAAUUUCUGUGAAUUAAUGUUCCCCGUCAUACUUAAUGCGGUGGUAUCACUGAUCGUACACCGACUGAAAACAGCACCAUCAAUUUACUGAGGUGACAUGUUGUCUCUAUGUCAUAACAUGUGUGCUUGGAUUUAGUAUCUUUGGUGUUUUUAACCUUCUGGGGUUGCUUUAAAUCCUUGAAAGGCCAUACUGGUUUAACUUAGCUUUCUUCUUGUUGAAAGUUUAUGUUUUUGCUGUGUCAUAAAUUUUAGAUUUUGCUUUAAAUCUUGUCUUUCGUUUAUUUUAACAAUAGAUUUUUGUAAUGACUUAAUGUCUUCGUGUGCUAGUCCAUGCCCUGUUUGCUGUCAGAUGGCUUUUAGUAGAUUAAGGUUUGCUUAUGGUAAUUGAAACUUGAGUUGAAUUGAUGGAUGUUCCCAGUGAUGCUUAAAUAUGAACCAUGCUAAUGCUGAUCAUUGGAUGACUGAAACUCUUUCUCAAUCUUGCUGAGGGAACAAUUGCUCUAAUUUUUUGUUUACAUUCUAUUUCUUUAGUUCAUCCUGGCUUUUGCAUAGUGAACUGUUAAUUAACUUGAUGAAACAAUCAAGUUCCCAAUUUUAUUUUCAUGAAAAACUGCCUCCAAAGUGCGUGGUAAACUAAACAUUCUGGUUUAGUUGUCCAAGUCCAUCUACGAGCAUGGCUCUAGAGAUAUCCUAUCAUCCUUUGGGCUAAGUUUUCUUUUCAGAAAGCCAAUAUCUUCAGAUAGGCCUAGCAAGCAUUUAGUCCUCACAACUGGCUCUGAUGGGUGCUUGGGGUCAAGGUUCUAACUUCAAAGGGUUUGCUUAAGUAAUGAUGUCUUACUAAUCCAACUACCAAUUUUCCUUUAAAUAAAAAAAAUUAAUAAAUAUUUUUUUCUUGGAGUGGAUUCGGUUGGGUCUGGACUUGGUUACAGAUGCCUCAAGAUCGUGAAUGUUUUGAAUAUUGAAUACCGAAAGGGCCAAAACAGCUAUAGCAUCAUGGAGAUGUUUGAAGUUUCUUGUACAGAGAAAAUAGUAGGAAUCGAGACCCCAAAAGAACCUCCAGGACAUUGGCUAGCAGCAUGGUGUUUUUCAAUAGGAGAGGAAUCGGUAACGUCGACGUCGGACUUGAGUUUUUGUUUGAGAAACCGAACAUCUUUUGUUCAUCAAAUACUCGGAACAUAUCAUUCUCAUCUUCAAGACAUGGGAAAUCAUGCAUCAUUAACUUGAAAAUUAGUUCAAUGAGCAAAGAACAUAAAAGCGAGAAAAGUAACGAGGAAGGCGAAGAUGAGAAAGGGUUUGUGACACUUGUUCGUUUAAUAGAAGAUAAAUCCAACAACUCUUCUAUAUUGGAAGAUAUUGCCUAAAGAAGAUGCAGUUUGUGCUCCUUUUGUGCAUUUCAGUUCCUAUAACUGUUAUCAGAAAUGAGAAAGGAAGAUGGUGGGAGCUUGCUAAUUAGGAGAAGACUGAAAGAAGCAAAACUUGGAGCUAGAGAUUGGUUAUGUGAUCCUUCAUCCUUCAUUUUCAUUUUGCAUUUUUUCACCUUACCUUCAACCUUUGUAUUGGAAUGCCAUAAGUUUUUUCACCUUGUGAAAUCACGACUAUCUGAUCAUAAAGUUUAGCAACUAUAUUUGUAAGAAAAUAAUAUAAAAUAAAAAAAAUACACGAGAUCACCAAAUUAGUGGGGUUUAUUACUUAAUUCA